GCGUGCCCCGCCGCCGCCGCCGCCGCCACCGGUCGCCGCCCUCGGCCGCUGCCCCCUCUCCCGGGCUCCCCACCUCUCGACCCCCGCCACCGCCGCCCCUCCGACCCCCGUCGUCUGCUCCGCCCCGCCGCCACAGUUGCUAGGGUUGGGGUUGGAGAGGAGGGACGGCCGAAGGAUCCAGGCGUGCGGUCGGGCAAAGGAGCACGGGCGCGGGUGCGGCGGCGGCGGGCGACGGCCGGCGCAUCCAGGCCUGCGGCCAGGCGAUGGAGCGCGGGCGAGGCGGGCGCGGGUGCGGCGGCGGCGGAGCUCCACUGCAGGCGUCGCUGGCGUUCGCACUUCGCAGCGGCGGGGCUCCGUUGCGGCCGCCGAAGUUGGGGUGCCAGCAGAGGUCGCCUGCAGGCCCCUGCGGCUGCUCACGGCCCCGUGGACAGUCGACCCUCUGCUCCCGCCGCCUCUGUGCGUGGCGCCACCGCUGUUUUCUCUUUCCGUUGAUGGUCUGAGGAAAGGGGCAGGCAGUGGAGCUCAGCUGGAGGCUGCGGCUGGGGCAAAAGGGGCAGGCGGCGGAGCUCAGUGGUGGGGUGGGCGGCGGAGUUCGGAUGGAGGGCACAACUGCUACGUGUAAUCUCCAGUUUGCCUUGCUAACGUAUAUGCAGUUAUAUAAGGUCUUGUAAUCAAUUAUAAGUAUAUGAUCAGUGCAACAUAGGUAGAUGAUCAGUGCAACAUAACGUUCAUGUUCAGAAUUUGUUGUGUGCAGCCAAGCCACUUUUGCUCUCUCCUUGAAGGCAGCUGGGUAUUUGGACUUUGCAAUUCAUCUUGCAUGCGGCCUCCAAUUGCAUAUGGGUAUAUGAUAUAAUUUCGAGGAUCGUAUUCCUACUGCUCUAAAGAGGGUUAUAUCUCUUCAUGGUGCCUAAAAUACAAAUUGGUAUUUCUCUCACCAGAUAACAUAGCAGCGCUUGAUAUCUUAUAUGAAAAAUAUCUUGAUUUUUUUCUA